rnacentral:piRNA from 1 species
UGUGAUACUAGAGAAGGUCCCAGUGA